rnacentral:sRNA from 1 species
UAUCAAAAAAAGGAAGGGUGUCCGUGGAACAAUGAACAAUUAAUCCUAUUUGUUAAGAAAAAAUUCGUUUAUGAUACGAUUCAUUUUUUCUAGAUAGGAUUAGUCUGUACACUUUUAUACAAACGAUAUGUUCAUUGUGUCCCUUCCAUUAGGGGUAUUAUGCCAUUUUGGUGUUGUAUUGUACCUUCUCCUCCUGUCUAGAAUAUUGACAGGAGGUUUUA